rnacentral:rRNA from 1 species
UACGUAGGAGGCGAGCGUUGUCCGGAUUUACUGGGCGUAAAGGGCGCGCAGGCGGCCUUGCAAGUAGCGUGUGAAAUCCACCUGCUCAACGGGUGGGGUGCAUGGUAGACUGCAGGGCUAGAGGACGGUAGAGGGGGGUGGAAUUGCUGGUGUAGCGGUGAAAUGCGUAGAGAUCAGGAGGAACACCAAUUGCGAAGGCAGCUCGCUGGGACGUUACUGACGCUGAGACACGAAAGCGUGGGGAGCAAACAGG